rnacentral:rRNA from 1 species
UACGUAGGUGGCAAGCGUUGUCCGGAAUUAUUGGGCGUAAAGCGCGCGCAGGCGGUCGAUUAAGUUUGGUGUUUAAGCCCGGGGCUCAACCCCGGAUCGCACUGAAAACUGGUCGACUUGAGUGUAGGAGAGGAAAGUGGAAUUCCACGUGUAGCGGUGAAAUGCGUAGAGAUGUGGAGGAACACCAGUGGCGAAGGCGACUUUCUGGCCUAUAACUGACGCUGAGGCGCGAAAGCGUGGGGAGCAAACAGG